rnacentral:rRNA from 1 species
CCUACGGGGGGCAGCAGUGAGGAAUAUUGGUCAAUGGACGGAAGUCUGAACCAGCCAUGCCGCGUGAAGGAAGACUGCCCUAUGGGUUGUAAACUUCUUUUGCAGCAGAGCAAUAAGGCGUACGCGUACGCCGAUGAGAGUAUGUUGCGAAUAAGCAUCGGCUAACUCCGUGCCAGCAGCCGCGGUAAUACGGAGGAUGCGAGCGUUAUCCGGAUUUAUUGGGUUUAAAGGGUGCGUAGGCUGUUUUGUAAGUCAGCGGUGAAAGACCGGGGCCCAACUCCGGAAGUGCCGUUGAUACUGCAUUGCUAGAGUUCCCCUGCCGUGGGAGGAAUGAGUGGUGUAGCGGUGAAAUGCAUAGAUAUCACUCAGAACACCGAUUGCGAAGGCAUCUCACGAAGAGGCAACUGACGCUGAGGCACGAAAGCGUGGGGAUCAAACAGGAUUAGAUACCCUGGUAGUCCACGCUGUAAACGAUGAUGACUAGCUGCCGGCGAUACACUGUCGGUGGCCCAGCGAAAGCGAUAAGUCAUCCACCUGGGGAGUACGACCGCAAGGUUGAAACUCAAAGGAAUUGACGGGGGCCCGCACAAGCGGAGGAACAUGUGGUUUAAUUCGAUGAUACGCGAGGAACCUUACCCGGGCUCGAACGGCAGACGACUUAUACAGAGACGUAUAUUCCCUUCGGGGCGUCUGUCGAGGUGCUGCAUGGUUGUCGUCGGCUCGUGUCGUGAGAUGUUGGCUUAAGUGCCAUAACGAGCGCAACCCUUGUCGUUAGUUGCCAUCAAGUU